CCAGGCACACCUCUGCGUGACAAACAGCACUCAGUAGGCUUGUUGAGAUGAACUGCGCCUCGCCUCUGUGGUUAGUGAGAGCAGCCGGUUGCAGUUGGGGGAGGAGGGUAGAAAAGAGCAGUCAAGUCGGACAGUCGCCUCAUGAAACCCACGUGAGCUGUGGUGAAUCUCGCGGUGUUUGUGUUCUUCGUAGCUGAUGAAGUGGAUGCAGUAGAAAUCCCUCUGCUAUUGCUUGAAAUCGAGUCUGAUGAACAACUAAGUAGAUCGCCUAUAUUCAGCAUGGGUGUCGGUGGAUGUUGAUGGCCCUCCCUCCAGUUCCGCUUCAUGUUCACUCAAUGUUCACUCAGAUUCAACUGGAUCAGGUGGGACUCUCAUCUCUCUGAGCUGGAUUUCUCUGGACCAAGAUAGGUAUUUCAUGGUAGGUAUCUUUCCCUCUUAAUUCCUGCCUAACAGGCAUUCUUAACCAGUAACCUCCUGAGCUUUGUUCCUCCUCUGAAACAGUUGCGUCACUGGUGGGAACCUGUUCUCUUGGGUUCCUACUGAUUCCUACUGGUCUCUGUCUUGGUGGCAUGCUACUUGUU